rnacentral:rRNA from 1 species
GACGAACGCUGGCGGCGUGCUUAACACAUGCAAGUCGAACGGAAAGGCCCUGCUUUUGUGGGGUGCUCGAGUGGCGAACGGGUGAGUAACACGUGAGUAACCUGCCCUUGACUUUGGGAUAACUUCAGGAAACUGGGGCUAAUACCGGAUAGGAUAUCCUGCUGCAGGGUGGGGGUUGGAAAGUUUCGGCGGUUGGGGAUGGACUCGCGGCUGAUCAGCUUGUUGGUGGGGUAGUGGCUUACCAAGGCUUUGACGGGUAGCCGGCCUGAGAGGGUGACCGGCCACCUUGGGCCUGCGAUACGGCCCAGACUCCUACGGGAGGCAGCAGUGGGGAAUAUUGCACAAUGGGCUGAAGCCUGAUGCAGCAACGCCGCGUGCGGGAUGACGGCCUUCGGGUUGUAAACCGCUUUCGCCUGUGACGAAGCGUGAGUGACGGUAAUGGGUAAAGAAGCACCGGCUAACUACGUG